rnacentral:rRNA from 1 species
CGGGUUGCUCCACCAGUGGGGAAUAUUGCACAAUGGAGGAAACUCUGAUGCAGCCAUGCCGCGUGUGUGAAGAAGGCCCGAGGGUUGUAAAGCACUUUCAAUUGGGAGGAAGGUUAUGUAGCUAAUACCUGCAUAAUUUGACGUUACCUUUAGAAGAAGCACCGGCUAACUCUGUGCCAGCAGCCGCGGUAAUACAGGAGGGUGCAAGCGUUAUUCGGAAUUACUGGGCGUAAAGCGCGCGUAGGCGGAUUGUUAAGUCAGAUGUGAAAGCCCUGGGCUCAACCUGGGAACGGCAUUUGAUACUGGCAGUCUAGAGUGUAAGAGAGGGAAGGGGAAUUUCUAGUGUAGCAGUGAAAUGCGUAGAUAUUAGAAGGAACAUCAGUGGCGAAGGCGCCUUCCUGGCUUAAAACUGAUGCUGAGGUGCGAAAGCGUGGGUAGCGAACGGGAUUAGAUACCCUAGUAGUC